GUACAUCUUAUUUUCAUUACUUUAUAAAAAUCAUUAUGGUUGUAAAAAGAUGAUUAGGCAUAUUAAUAACGGAACGGACGCAUAGACCUUGUCUUGCCGACUUUAAGAAUACGGUCCUUACUGUUUUUAUCUAUUUUUGUUUUAAGCCUUUUAUUUUGAAAAACAGACAUCUACGCAUGUUUACCUUUAACAAACGUGUUUUUGAGUCGUGUCAUUGUAUCACGUAUGCUUUUUGGAUUUCAUUGAUGUAAUGCUGUCUUUGUCAUUUAUGUUUUUUGUUCUGUUUCUUAUUCUCAUGUUUGUUUUACUUUUCAGUAGUCAAGUCAAGAGAUGGAUUAUAGAUUGGCUUUGCUUUUAUCCGUCUUUGGACUCUGCAGCCCUUCCCUUUACGUGCUUCGACAGUUUCACUACAUCGACUUGAAUAUGACCUGGGCCGACGCUCAACAUUACUGCAGAGAUAAGUACAGCGACCUGGUGACCAUUGAAAGCGCGUCUGACAUCAGCAGGCUCAACAGACCUGACGUCUCAAAAGCAUGGAUUGGUCUACAUGACGAUCCGGAGGACUGGAAGACUAUGGGCAACGAAACCAACUCCUGGAGAUGGUCAAGUACCGGUGCAACCAGCAAAACUGGUUAUUACAACUGGGUAACAAAUCGGCCAGAUAACUGGCGAGGAGAGUUUUGUGUGAUGGCAAAGUCGAGUCAUGUCUGGGAUGAUACGGAUUGUAACACAGGAAUGUGGUUUCUUUGUUACACAGCUACAAAUCCUGCAAGCCAGAAAACAUAUGUCUUAAUCCAAGAAGCGAAGAAUUGGAAGAAUGCCCAGACCUACUGCAGAACACACCACACUGACCUGGCUAUGAUCGAGAAUGCUGAGGAAUUUGCAAACAUGGUGUCAGUAAAGGGUCCUCGUCAGGGGUGGAUCGGCUUGUAUCGAGAAGCAUGGAGGUGGUCCGACAACAGAGACAGCUCCUUCAGGAACUGGAAAGUGUAUAAGCCAGAUAACUAUCACAGUUUCUGUGUGAUGAGUGAUGAGCAAUACCAAUGGGAUGACAUUCAUUGUAAAGACAAGCUUCCCUUCUGGUGCCAGGAAGUCCCCAAACAGCACAUCUUGAUGAAGUUGAAGAUUCAGACUGAUGCGGACCUUUCAGAUCCAGCUGUAAACGCCAAGCUCCUGCAACAGUUAGAUGCUUUGCUUCCUGAAACGACGGGACAGGCUCACCUAAAACUGAAGUGGAAGAUUCAACCCAGAAAACAAGAGGAGGAGAAGGAGAAAGCCGAGGAUCAGUGCCCACUGAAGUGAAGGCCGGCUAAGCUACGUUUACUGUUUGAAAGUUUCAAGCCUCUUUGGGGUCGGUUUGAGGGUAGAGUCAGUAGCUUUUGUCGUUGCAGCUUGUAAACAAAACAUUUAAUCUGGGCCCCUCCUCCUGGACUCCCUGCAGGAUGUCUUUUGGUCUGCCUAUAUUGCAAACUAGCUAAACAACUCAAUCAAUGUAUUCAAAUAGAAAAUCCUGACUUGUUACACUCCUUUUAUUUCACUGCAAUACCUGGAUAGUCGAUUCUGAUUGGUUAAUUGGUAUUCUCCAAGUUUCUCCAGUUUCCAAGUAGAGUGAAACCUCCAAAACCAAAAUGACUUAUAGAGACAGUGCUGACAUUUGACUGUCUAAUGCAAGAUGUUACCAACAUCAUCAGGUGACCUCUUCCAGAUACCUCAUUUUCAUAUGGAAAUAGAAGCCUUGUAGAAACAUCUGGAUGGUUUGUUUAAUUGGUGGUGGUGGUGUUGUUGUUGCUGGGUGUUUACAUUUGGGCUUUGGUCUCUGUCUUGUAAACCUGUUUGGGGGCGGGGCAUUUUGUUCAUGCAUGACACGAUUAUCAAGUCAAAUCAGAAGCUUUCCAAAAGGGAACCUGCAGAUGCUUUUGUUUCCAGUAUUGGGCAAUGGCUGGUGAUACCUAUUGCUAACAGGGGAAUAUGCAGUUUUGUUGUUUUGAUUAACAAUUAAAUCAAUCUGGUAGAGUUAAAAAAUUAAAGUUAGGAGCCCCAACUGAGUAGUUUCUUCUCUUGUGGUACUUUCCAUGUGUUUCUGUCCCCUUACCCAUUCCCCUGUUGGGUAGGCUUCCUUUGGAUGAUCAGUUAUAAUCUUUAUACAUUUUUUCAUAUUCCUUGAUGUAGUGGUCUUUAUUCCCAUCAACGUUUUAAUCCCUUCCUAAACUUGUCAAUAUAUAGACGACAAUGAACCAUCACUGACAAAUAGCUGUUUUGAGAGUGAUAUCUACUAUUAGACUAAAGACUCUGACACACCAAGGAGGUCGUCGGCCCAGUCGGUGAGAGGAAUCUCUCUGAUUGGCUGUUGGGAGGUUUCAUUUCUCUCCAGCUCUCCUCUCAGGUUCAGUAAAGCCCCUUGAGCAUGUCUCUGUAGUCUCCAUGCUUUCACCCAUUAGUGCGGUUUCUCUUUAUUUGUCUCCUCCGCCUCUUCUUUUCUUUUUUCCACUAAAAGACAAAGAGCUGACAACGCCAGCGCCAUUUUCAACUUUUUAUCAGACAUUAUUCUCCAUUAGUAGACGACCUAUAAUACGAGUGGUGAGCGACAGCGGUGUGAAAACGGUCUUCUCGUAUCAUAGCAACGGACUACCGCCCCCUGCUGGCAUGGAGAGUUAUUUCCUCUCACACAUGUGCAGAACUUACGUGGUGAUUGGCCGUCAGCUGUAGUCUUUGCGAUGUGUUCAAGUGACACUUUUUGGACCAAGACGUGAGGUGACGCCACAGGCCGCGUUCGUCGCCACUAGUUCUUUGCCGCCUGCUCGGUGUGUCAGGGCCUUAAAGUAAGCGCAAGCUGGUGUAUUUAUUCAUAUUUAGGGUUUUUUGGGCCUUUUUGCCUUUAUUGAAUAGGACAGCUGCAGACAGGAAAUGUUGGGACGAGAGCGUACGGGAUGAUAUGCAGCGAGGGUUUUGUGCUUUUGUUUGAUUUCCCUUGUAGGAAGGAUCUGGAGCACUCAGUACAAUAAGAUAAUGACUGUGUUUACUCUAUAUUUAUCGUGUUAUACCCUUCUGUUUAUGUAUUUAGUUAACAUUUUGCCAUAGUUGAAAUAAAGCAUUAAGUUGUUUCGAUGUGUGUUAAAAAAAAAUAAACAAUGGUCAUACAUGAAGACAA